rnacentral:rRNA from 1 species
CAGCCGCAACAGCCCGCUGGCUCACACGGGGUGCUCUUCAUCGAGUGUCCCGCGUGGCCGGCAGAGUUUACUUUGAAAAAAUUAGAGUGCUCAAAGCAGGCUACAUGGACAGCCUGAAUGCCUAUGCAUGGAAUAAUGGAAUAGGACCUCGGUUCUAUUUUGUUGGUUUUCUGAACCCGAGGUAAUGACUAAUAGGAACAGGCGGGGGCAUUCGUAUUGCGACGCUAGAGGUGAAAUUCUUGGACCGUCGCAAGACGAACUACUGCGAAAGCAUUUGCCAAGGAUGUUUUCAUUAAUCAAGAACGAAAGUUAGAGGUUCGAAGGCGAUCAGAUACCGCCCUAGUUCUAACCAUAAACGAUGCUGACCAGCGAUCCGCCGGCGUUAUUCCCAUGACCCGGCGGGCAGCUUCCGGGAAACCAAAGUCUUUGGGUUCCGGGGGAAGUAUGGUUGCAAAGCUGAAACUUAAAGGAAUUGACGGAAGGGCACCACCAGGUGUGGAGCCUGCGGCUUAAUUUGACUCAACACGGGGAACCUCACCAGGCCCAGACACCGGAAGGAUUGACAGAUUGAGAGCUCUUUCUCGAUUCGGUGGGUGGUGGUGCAUGGCCGUUCUUAGUUGGUGGAGCGAUUUGUCUGGUUAAUUCCGAUAAC